AAAAUAAUAUCAAGUACUUUUACAAUAUAACAUGAAUAAUAUACCAUUGUACAUACAUAUAGAUAUUCAAUACAUAAGUCUCACCCACCAAAACAAACUUAUGCUGAUAUAUACAAAUAAUAAUAACACCAAGGCCUAAUAUAAAGAUGCUAUACCUCCGCAACCAUAAUCACUCACCUAUCCCUACACUUAAUGAUCCUAUGUAGAACAAGAAUUUAUGCAACAAACAAUUAAUAAUCAACUUGAACACCAUUUUCCAAACCAAGUCAGCAUCUCUCUCAUGUUUUCAGUAAGUCCCUGAAAAAAUAAAAAUAUAUAUAUUAGAAACAGGCUAAGCUUCCGACUUAACUAGUGACAUUCUAUUUCGGAGGAGUUAUCAGAGUUAUUACUUACCUUUAAGUGAGACUUGAUCUUUCCAAUAUAGUUCUUAAAAUAAUAAGGCUGCAUUUGAAAAUAUUAUUUAUAGUAGGGAAUCAUGAGUCACCAAGCUACAAGGCACUUUUAGUUCAACACCCAUUAUCACACGAGAAUGGAUUCCCUAAAUUUUAUCUGAAACACGCACUAUUCCAACAAUAGAGUACUCUUACCCAUCACUAGGAUCACCACCAGCCUUCAAAUUAUACAUCCUACAUAAACAAAGUUAACCAUCAGAUCAUGUUCUAAAUCCACUACCAAAGAGUAAACAACUUUAAAAUUCAAUUAAGAGAAAAAGUAUCAUAAGCAAUGGUUAGGUGAUACCUCUCAAUCAUCUUUAAUUUCUCAUCGACAACCUUCGUUUUGUCAUUUCUCAAUCUGUUUUAAAUUCCACUCAUACAUAAUCAAUUUUAACUCAUUCAAAAGUGAAACCAAACAUAUAUAUACUUAUAUAACUUAAAAGCUAAUCUAACAACACCACAAUCAAAAUCUAAAUUUCAUGCAAGUUUUUUAAGGUGAAGCAGAGCUAGAAAAUUAUCCACCUUACUUACAGUGCUGAUAAGCUAUCCAUCUACUUCCCAACUCUGUUUCCAUCAUCUUUGCAACUUCUUCAACCUAUUAUAACAAUAAUUUCAUAAAAACUUGUUCAAUGCUUCAAAAAAAUCCCUUAUUUCUAUGAGAUGAUUGAUCUGUAUCCGACACCAAAAUAACUCUAGCACUCUUAUAAGAAGAAAUAAUCCCUAAAAAACAGAAUCAAAUCAAGAACAUGAAUAAAAAAGAAAUUGACAUAGGAAUCAAAUAGUAGAGGUGUCAAAAGGGGAAGUUGAUUGGUUUUUGAACCUUGUUACCAUGUAUUGCAAUAGCUGGGAAACCACUUCUGCACAACCAGUUUUAAGUUUAUGAAAAUUCAAAAGAAAUGAUUUUUAACUAACUUAGAACAAGAUACUAAGAUUGCAUCAGUGAGAAAAUUAUGCUAUUGAAAAAACCAGAAAUAACCAAAGAAGCUUCAAGUUUCCUAUGUAAGUGUAACAAACAAUAAUUGAACUAACUAUAUAGUCAAGUCAAAGGGUAAGAGAAUAUAUAGCCAAAUCAACACUUGUAUAAUCUCUGAAGCUGAAUCUGCUUAAUCACACUGUAAUAUUUUCAUAAAAGGGUCAAUAAAAAAAAGGAAUCAAAUCUCAAUCAAAAUAGCAGAAAUUAACUAAACACAACCCAACUUUAAUUAAAGCAUUUUCAAAAGCAUAACCAAAGAGUUAUGAAACUAAACUACUAGUACUCUUUAGUUAACUAUAGAUCAGAAGCAUAGAAAAACUAAAUAUAGGAAAUUAUAGAACAAAAAAACACAGAAAAAAUUGUUCUUUUUAUAGAAACUAGUAACCACAAAACAGGAAGAUUGAAACUUUACCAAUUAAUGGUGUGGUUUAAAAACUUAUUGACCACUUUUGGAGAAUAAAAUAAAUUUAAAAGGAAACUGAAUAUAUAAGUUUAGUUCUAAUAAUAACAAUGUUGUGGGGACAUCUAAUGGCUUUAGAAAAAACUACCAGCAUUGAACAAUCAAUGUUACAUAAAUCCAUAGGUUGAACAAUCAGUGUUUGAACAAUUUCAUAUCCAUAGGUUGACAUAGCCUGUUGAGACAAUUUAAAGUUACAUAAAUCCAUAGGUCACCUUAUCAACAAAAUACUAUUUAUAACCAAAAAAAUACCUUCUCAAGCUCUUCUUCCACUACUUUUGUAAUUUCAUUUUUCUGUUCAAAAGCAUCAUCGAAGUUGAAUUGAGUUUUGGAACACUUGCAUGCCUCUUUGAUUCGAUAUUUCUGAUGCCAAAUAGCAAAGUCACACCAGAACGUAAUGAAAAGAACUGCAAAAUACAAGGCUAAAACUAACAAAACAAAACGUAGCAGGCAAAGUAUCUAACAAACCAAUAUUCAUCAAAAUCACAUAUCAGUCGCUGGUAGACACAUAAUCAAUCAACAAAGGCUACCAAGAAAAUCAAAUACAACAAACCUACAUAAUCAAUCAACAAUACAAACAAGCUAAGCAGCUAAACCAUCACAGAAAAUAUCCACACAAUCCAUUAUUAUAAAGCUGAGAACGAAUUUAAAGCCAAACAUACAUGAAGUAACAAGAAUCCAAACUCACUUUCAACGGGUUACAAAAUGCAAAAGGGAUUAACAACAGAAAAAUAAAUGGAUAUAGGAAAAGGGAAAACAUUUACUUCCUUCACGCCUUCAACUAUGGAAGCAAUCCUUCAAUUUUUGGGUUGAAUUUGGGAUUUAGGGUUUAACAAAUUUUAGGGAAUGAUGGAGAGAAGAAGGUUUUAGGGUUCAAUUGAUGGUGAACAAUGGAGAGAAAGGAUUGAUUUCAUCUAAGAGAAGGGUUGCUUUUGUUGGAGAGGGAUUGAAUUCGUAGGAGAAAACGGCGAGUUCUUCAAAGAUGACGGCGAGUUCGUCGGAAUACGGAGAGCGCAGUGAGUUGAGAGAAGGCGAGUGGGGAGUGAGGAACGAUGAUGAGGAACAUGAAGACGGGUAGUGAGAAGACGUACAGUGAGUUGAGACUUGAGAGACGGUGGAGACCCUGAAUCGAACUGAGUAAAAAUAGAGUGAAGUGUAUUUGGGCGUAAAAUUCCUUUUAUUUUAUUUUUUU
rnacentral:lncRNA from 1 species